AUCAUCUCAGCUAGCAACGCACCUUUGGAGGGCAAAAUUUCCUUAAGAGAGAGUCACCAAAAUGUCUGAUCACGGUCAUCACGGCGGAGGCGGGCACGGAGGUCCUGGAGGUGGUGGCCCUGGCGGAGGUGGCCAUGGAGGUCCUGGAGGUGGUGGCCCUGGCGGAGGUGGCCAUGGAGGUCCUGGAGGCGGUGGCCCUGGCGGAGGCCAUGGAGGCCCUGGAGGUGGUGGCCAUGGCGGAGGCCAUGGUGGUCCUGGUGGAGGCCAGGGUGGUCCAGGCGGCAAGCCCGGAGGAGAUCACGGCCAUGGCGGACCAGGCGGACCGGGCGGGCAAGGCCCCGGCGGACAUGGCCCUGGUGGCCACGGUCCUGGGGGCGGCCACCAGCACGGCAGAUGCUAGUUGGUAGACUAGCGUCCUAUCGUUUAUAUGUGAUGUAAAGUAUCUCCGGUGCCUUUUAACCGUCUUCUAUUUGAGGUUAAAAAAAAAAAAAAAAAACCCAAAAAAACUAAUAAGCACCGUGUGGAGUCAGUCUUGUAAUUGUGCUUGCAAGUAUCCUAAUGAAUUUCAAGGUUCCUAAUAUGAUCUGUAGCUUUGUGCAUGAGAUGUCCUUGAACCUCAUUCAUGAAACAGGUUACAAAUGAAAGAAACAGAAUUCCGAAUUAAGAUAAGCAUGUUUCUUCACAAGCAUCGUUCAUCAACUGACCAGUCACGACGAGAGACAAUCGAAACAUAAGCACAGUGCUCCCCAUUAAUUCUGAUUAUCAACAAGAAAAUAGAAACAAACUAGGUCGGUCUGCAUUAGUCACGAUCCAAACACAUUAUAUGAACAAAAGUUUCUCUUGUGCCCUUUCGUCCCCUCAUCAAUUCCUUCCAGCCAGUGAAGUUCGUGGUCUUGCGAUCUUCAGCGUGGUUUCUCAUCUCCACACGAUGUCAAAGUCGACGAAGUUCACGUUCUGUUUUGAGUUCUCUUCAUUUAAUUUUUCCGCAGAAAUUAGAGAUGUUCAAUAAAAAAUUAAUAUAAUCACCAUUUUGCAUCAAAGGGCUGUACGAAACGGUCAAAGGGUGGGGCCAUAUGUUGCAAACGAAUCAGCAAAAGUUUGGGGUGUCUUGAGGGUAUUCUUUGCUACAUAGCAAGAUCAUGGGUUCUUCG
rnacentral:lncRNA from 1 species